rnacentral:rRNA from 1 species
UACGAAGGGUGCUAGCGUUGUUCGGAAUCACUGGGCGUAAAGCGCGCGUAGGCGGCUUUUCAAGUCAGGGGUGAAAUCCUUGGGCUCAACCCAAGAAUUGCCCUUGAAACUGGAAGGCUUGAGUGUCGGAGGGGAUAGCGGAAUUCCUAAUGUAGAGGUGAAAUUCGUAGAUAUUAGGAGGAACACCGAUGGCGAAGGCAGGUCACUGGGCCGCAACUGACGCUGAGGAGCGAAAGCAUGGGGAGCGAACAGG